UUUGGUUGUCCUGGGGAAAGGCGGUAGGCAUGAUUCUUAGGCAAAUCCGGGAAUCUUUAUGCCGAGCACCGAGACGAGUCCUAUGAGGACGAAGUGACUGACACCACGCUUCCAGGAAAAGCCACUAAGCUUCAGCUGUAGAAAAACCGUACCGUAAACCGACACUGGUAGGCAGGGUGAGAAUCCCAAGGCGCUUGAGAGAACUCGGGUGAAGGAACUAGGCAAAAUGGCACCGUAACUUCGGGAGAAGGUGCGCCCUUUGGUGUGGUCACGUGCGUGACUGAGCAUCGAAGGGUCGCAGUAACCUGGCCGCUGCGACUGUUUAUCAAAAACACAGCACUCUGCAAACACGAAAGUGGACGUAUAGGGUGUGACGCCUGCCCGGUGCUGGAAGGUUAAUUGAUGGGGUCAGCCGCAAGGCGAAGCUCUUGAUCGAAGCCCCAGUAAACGGCGGCCGUAACUAUAACGGUCCUAAGGUAGCGAAAUUCCUUGUCGGGUAAGUUCCGACCUGCACGAAUGGCGUAACGACAGCGGCGCUGUCUCCACCCGAGACUCAGUGAAAUUGAAAUCGCUGUGAAGAUGCAGCGUUCCCGCGGCAAGACGGAAAGACCCCGUGAACCUUUACUAUAGCUUUACAUUGAACGUUGAGUUCUUCUGUGUAGGAUAGGUGGGAGGCUAUGAAACCGAGACGCUAGUUUCGGUGGAGCCAUCCUUGAAAUACCACCCUGAAGUGCUUGACGUUCUAACCUAGGUCCGUAAUCCGGAUCGGGGACCAUGUAUGGUGGGUAGUUUGACUGGGGCGGUCUCCUCCCAAAGAGUAACGGAGGAGCACGAAGGUACGCUCAGCGCGGUCGGACAUCGCGCACUGUGUGCAAAGGCAUAAGCGUGCUUGACUGCGAGAUCGACGGAUCAAGCAGGUACGAAAGUAGGUCUUAGUGAUCCGGUGGUUCUGUAUGGAAGGGCCAUCGCUCAACGGAUAAAAGGUACUCCGGGGAUAACAGGCUGAUACCGCCCAAGAGUUCAUAUCGACGGCGGUGUUUGGCACCUCGAUGUCGGCUCAUCACAUCCUGGGGCUGUAGCCGGUCCCAAGGGUAUGGCUGUUCGCCAUUUAAAGUGGUACGCGAGCUGGGUUCAGAACGUCGUGAGACAGUUCGGUCCCUAUCUGUCGUGGGCGUUGGAGAUUUGAGGGGGGCUGCUCCUAGUACGAGAGGACCGGAGUGGACGUUCCGCUGGUGUUCGGGUUGUCAUGCCCAUGGCAUUGCCCGGUAGCUACGAACGGAAGUGAUAACCGCUGAAAGCAUCUAAGCGGGAAGCACGCCCCAAGAUGAGAUCUCCCGAGAGCUAGACUCUCCUUAAGGCACCAUCAAGACUAGGUGGUUGAUAGGCACGGUGUGGAAGUGCAGCAAUGCAUUGAGCUUACGUGUACUAAUGAGCCGUGAGGCUUGAUC
rnacentral:rRNA from 1 species